rnacentral:rRNA from 1 species
GACGAACGCUGGCGGCGUGCUUAACACAUGCAAGUCGAACGAGAAUCUACUGACUGGGUUUUCGGCCAAUGGAAGUAGAGGAAAGUGGCGGACGGGUGAGUAACGCGUGAGGUUCCUGCCAUGAAGAGGGGGACAACAGUUGGAAACGACUGCUAAUACCGCAUGAAGCAUAGGGGUCGCAUGAUUCUUAUGCCAUAGAUUUAUCGCUUCAAGAUGGCCUCGCGUCUGAUUUGCUGGGUGGCGGGGUAACGGACCACCAAGGCGACGGGCAGUAGCCGGAAGGGGAGGGUCGGCCACAUCGUUGGUGCUGAGAUGCGCACACGACUCCUGCAGGAAGCAGUAGUGAAGAAUGUUGGACGAUGGGCGGACGCCUGAACCAGCACCGCGGCGUGGAGGAAGACGGCUUUGGGGUUGUAAACUUCUUCUAAGAGGGAAGAGCUGAUGACGGUACCUGUAGAAGAAGCCACGGCUAACUACGUG